rnacentral:snRNA from 1 species
GUGCUUGCUUCGGCAGCACAUAUACUAAAAUUGGAACGAUACAGAGAAGAUAAGCAUGGCCUCUGCGCAAGGAUGACACGCAAAUUCAUGAAGCAUUCCAUAUUUUU